GCCGUGGCUCAGUGGAAGAGCCUCUGCUCCAGAUGCAGAAAGUCCGAGGUUCAAUUCCAGCCAUCUCCA
rnacentral:tRNA from 1 species